CCUGAAGUUGUGUUGCGUAUUAAUCCCGAUGUCCCUCGCUCAGAAGAACGACAGUUGCCAUGCUGCCGCGAUAAGUGGAGGUUCCCCCGAGAUCUCAGAAAGAAGGGGUAGCGGACGGGGUUGUCCUAGACCGGAGUUGAUAAACCAAUUUGGGUGCCAGAGCAGUGCGUAAGGCCAGUGACCCAGGAUGAAGACCACAAUGCUCCUUCUGCUUCAGGAUCUGCAAACUGAGUAAUUGCUGGGAUGGUUCUGAUGGAGCUUUGAUCGUUCUAGUGCCUGCUGUGAUUCCUCUGCUGGUGCUGCUGUCUCAAGAACAUCAGGAGAUCAUCCAUUGUCGACAGCAGGCGAACAGCUGCAAUUGUUGCUGCUAUUGCUGUCACUGCCACUGUGGCUACAGUUGCUGGAGUUGCCAUUUCACAGACAACUGUGACUAUAGAGACUGUGAAUCAGCUGUCUGGAAGGGUUAGCAAGUCCCUGCAGACACAGAGUGCUCUGGAUUUUCAUAUUGGACUUGGACUUUUAAAUUUAAAUCAAAAAACAGUGCUUUUGCAAGAACAGGUAGAUUCCCUUUGACUCCUGUAACAAGUGUCUUGUACGUUACACCUGCUAAUGUUAUAAAUGCUUCUCAUGUGGUUGUACAGUUGAAUGCAUGUUUGGAUGGCCCUUGGAAUUCCUUUUUGAAUUUCACCCUGCAAACAGCUUAUCAUAUUGUAAGUAUUGACAGCACAUGGGUCCCUGCUGUGUCUAGAUCCAGUCAGUAGAAUGCCAUGGCCCAGCUUGGGGGCUGGGUCCAGUGAUUGUCUGGAAUGCUCACUUGUACUCAUAUUGCUAUUGGGGUUAUCUGUUUUUGGAUUCUCUGUCACUUUAUGUGGCAAUCCCAUGUACAGCACACUGUCACCCGACAAGUGUUGCUUGGACUGUCUUCCGGAAAUUGGGAAGUGCCCCAAGUCUGGUUGCAGAUAUUGCAGAAGUCAUGAGGGAUCCCAAUGACGGGCAACUCUCCUGGUAUAGUGAGCUUGCCUAAGACAGGAAUUAAGGCCUCCUGUAGACGGGUAAGAGUCUCUGUCUGGGGGAGUCCUAAGACAGGGCCUCCACUGAUGAGAGCUAUAUAUACUGUAUGAGAAAGUGGAAUAAAGGCUUGUCUGCAGAACCUGAA